rnacentral:rRNA from 1 species
AACGAACGCUGGCGGCAGGCUUAACACAUGCAAGUCGAGCGCCCCGCAAGGGGAGCGGCAGACGGGUUAGUAACGAGCGGGAACGUACCCUUUGCUACGGAAUAGCCCCGGGAAACUGGAAUUAAUACCGCAUACGACCUACGGGGGAAAGAUUUAUCGGGGUUUGGUGAGCCGGCGUUGGAUUAGCUAGUUGGUGGGGUGAUGGCCUACCAAGGCGACGAUCCAUAGCCGGUCUGAGGGGAUGAGCAGCCCCAUUGGGACUGAGACGCGGCCCAAACUCGUACUAGAGGCAGCAGUGGGAAAUAUUGGACAAUGGGCGCAAGCCUGAUCCAGCCAUGCCGCGUGGGUGAUGAAUGCCUUAGGGUUGUAAAGCUCUUUCGCCGACGAACAUGAUUGCGGUAGUCGUUGAAGAAGCCCCGGCUAACUUCGUGCCAGCAGCCGCAGUAACAC